rfam:Triticum aestivum genome assembly, contig: Triticum_aestivum_CS42_TGACv1_scaffold_582552_7BL
UUUGUACUCCCUCCGUCCGGAAAUACUUGUCAUCAAGAUGAAUACAAGGGGAUGUAUCUAGACGUAUUUUAUUUUUAGAUACAUCCUUUUUUAUCCAUUUUGAUGACAAGUAUUUUCGGACGGAGGGAGUAUGUA